UCCCCUACGGGGGCAGCAGUGGGGAAUAUUGCACAAUGGGGGAAACCCUGAUGCAGCGACGCCGCGUGAAGGAAGAAGUAUUUCGGUAUGUAAACUUCUAUCAGCAGGGAAGAAAAUGACGGUACCUGACUAAGAAGCCCCGGCUAACUACGUGCCAGCAGCCGCGGUAAUACGUAGGGGGCAAGCGUUAUCCGGAUUUACUGGGUGUAAAGGGAGCGUAGGCGGCGAGGCAAGUCAGAAGUGAAAGCCCGGGGCUCAACUCCGGGACUGCUUUUGAAACUGGGUUGCUAGAUGGCAGGAGAGGG
rnacentral:rRNA from 1 species